rnacentral:rRNA from 1 species
UGAAGAACGCAGCGAAAUGCGAUAAGUAAUGUGAAUUGCAGAAUUCAGUGAAUCAUCGAAUCUUUGAACGCACAUUGCGCCCGCUAGUAUUCUGGCGGGCAUGCCUGUCCGAGCGUCAUUUCAACCCUCAAGCCCCCGGGCUUGGUGUUGGGGAUCG